AGAGAGAGACAUGCGCGCAUAUCAAUAAGCGGAGGAAAAGAAACUAACAAGGAUUCCCCUAGUAACGGCGAGUGAAGCGGGAAGAGCUCAAAUUUGAAAUCUUAAAGGGUUUCCCUUUACGAAUUGUAGUUUAAAGAAGUGUUUUCUGUUGAGGUUUUGGUAAAAGUUCUUUGGAAUAGGACAUCAUAGAGGGUGAGAAUCCCGUAUUUGACCUUUACUUUCAACAUUGUGAUACACUUUCAAAGAGUCGGAUUGUUUGGGAAUGCAGUCCAAAAUGGGUGGUAAAUUUCAUCUAAAGCUAAAUAUUGGCGAGAGACCGAUAGCGAACAAGUACCGUGAGGGAAAGAUGAAAAGAACUUUGAAAAGAGAGUUAAACAGUACGUGGAAUUGUCAAAAGGGAAGCGUUUGACACCAGUGUUGUUUUUCUGAAAAUCAAUUAAAGAACUGUUUAUGCUAAGCUGUUUAGACUUUAUCGGCUAACUGUUUAGUUUUGAGCUUUUCUUUAAUGCACUUUUCAGUUAACAAGUCAACAUCAAUUUCUUUUGCUGUAAAAAAGCUUGAGGAAGGUGGCUUGAGAUUCGUCUUAAGUGUUUAUAGCCUCUUGCCUAUGCAGUCGGAGAGAUUGAGGUCUGCAGCGUAGAUCCUUCGGGGCUAAAUGCAUUUGUGCUAAGUUAUAGCAUUUUAUAGACAACUUGUUGACUAUGAUUUGUCUUGUAGCUUACUCGCUUAUGUUAUUUUACCUACGCUUAGGAUGUUGACGCAUGAGAUAUACGC
rnacentral:rRNA from 1 species